rnacentral:rRNA from 1 species
UGCCAGCCGCCGCGGUAAUACGAAGGGACCUAGCGUAGUUCGGAAUUACUGGGCGUAAAUGGCGUGUAGGUUGUGCUUCGCUGUUAUCGGUUAAAUUCCCAUCGAUAUGGUGGGUAAGGCUGAUAGAACGGUUGUACUAGAGAGUGAGAGAGGAUACGGGAAUUUCGAGUGGAGAAGUUAAAUUCUUGGAUAUUCGAAGGAAGGCCAACUGCGAAGGCACAUAUCUGGCUCAUUUCUGACACUGAGGCGCGAAGGCGUGGGGAGCGAAGCCGAUAAGAUA